CACGUAGGGUGCAAGCGUUGUCCGGAAUUAUUGGGCGUAAAGGGCUCGUAGGCGGUCCGUCACGUCGGGAGUGAAAACUCGGGGCUCAACCCCGAGCCUGCUUUCGAUACGGGCGGACUAGAGGUAGGUAGGGGAGAACGGAAUUCCUGGUGUAGCGGUGGAAUGCGCAGAUAUCAGGAGGAACACCGGUGGCGAAGGCGGAUCUCUGGGCCUGACCUGACGCUGAGGCGCGAAAGCUAGGGGAGCGAACAGG
rnacentral:rRNA from 1 species